rnacentral:miRNA from 1 species
GGAACGAGGAUGACCCAGAGCCUAAUUUUCAACGAGUGGUCACUCGUUGAAAAUUAGGCUCUGGGUCAUCCUCGUUCCC